rnacentral:rRNA from 1 species
GACAGAGGGUGCAAGCGUUGUUCGGAAUCAUUGGGCGUAAAGCGCACGUAGGCGGUUCUGUAAGUCGGAUGUGAAAGCCCUGGGCUUAACCCAGGAAGUGCAUCCGAUACUGCAAGACUUGAGUCCCGGAGAGGGUGGUGGAAUUCCUGGUGUAGAGGUGAAAUUCGUAGAUAUCAGGAGGAACACCGGUGGCGAAGGCGACCACCUGGACGGAGACUGACGCUGAGGUGCGAAAGCGUGGGGAGCAAACAGG